CCGGAUUUAUUGGGCGUAAAGCGUGCGUAGGCGGUUAAUUAAGUCUGACGUGAAAUCCCACAGCUUAACUGUGGAGGGUCGUUGGAAACUGGUUAACUUGAAUUCAGAAGAGGUAAGUGGAAUUCCAUGUGUAGCGGUAAAAUGCAUAGAUAUAUGGAGGAACACCAGUGGCGAAGGCGGCUUACUGGUCUGAUAUUGACGCUGAGGCACGAAAGCGUGGGGAGCAAACAGGAUUAGAUACCUGGUAGUCCACGCUGUAAACGAUGAGCACUAAGUGUUGGACGUAUGUUCAGCGCUGUAGUUAACGCAUUAAGUGCUCCGCCUGGGGAGUACGGUCGCAAGACUGAAACUCAAAGGAAUUGACGGGGACUCGCACAAGCGGUGGAGCAUGUGGUUUAAUUCGACGCAACGCGAAAAACCUUACCAGGUCUUGACAUCCCUCUGACAGAUUUAGAGAUAAGUCUUCCCUUCGGGGCAGAGGAGACAGGUGGUGCAUGGUUGUCGUCAGCUCGUGUCGUGAGAUGUUGGGUUAAGUCCCGCAACGAGCGCAACCCUUAUCAUUAGUUGCUAACAUUAAGUUGAGAACUCUAAUGAGACUGCCAGCGAUAAGUUGGAGGAAGGUGGGGAUGACGUCAAAUCAUCAUGCCCCUUAUGGCCUGGGCUACACACGUGCUACAAUGGCUGGUACAAAGAGCCGCGAAACAGUGAUGCGAAGCAAAUCUCAAAAAGCCAGUCUCAGUUCGGAUUGUAGUCUGCAACUCGACUACAUGAAGUUGGAAUCGCUAGUAAUCGUGAAUCAGC
rnacentral:rRNA from 1 species